UGGGGAAUAUUGCACAAUGGGCGCAAGCCUGAUGCAGCAACGCCGCGUGAGGGACGACGGCCUUCGGGUUGUAAACCUCUUUAGCAGGGAAGAAGCGAAAGUGACGGUACCUGCAGAAAAAGCACCGGCUAACUACGUGCCAGCAGCCGCGGUAAUACGUAGGGUGCAAGCGUUAUCCGGAAUUAUUGGGCGUAAAGAGCUCGUAGGCGGUUUGUCGCGUCUGCUGUGAAAACCCGAGGCUCAACCUCGGGCCUGCAGUGGGUACGGGCAAACUAGAGUGCGGUAGGGGAGAUUGGAAUUCCUGGUGUAGCGGUGGAAUGCGCAGAUAUCAGGAGGAACACCGAUGGCGAAGGCAGAUCUCUGGGCCGUAACUGACGCUGAGGAGCGAAAGCGUGGGGAGCGAACAGGAUUAGAUACCCUGGUAGUCCACGCCGUAAACGUUGGGCGCUAGAUGUGGGGACCAUUCCACGGUUUCCGUGUCGCAGCUAACGCAUUAAGCGCCCCGCCUGGGGAGUACGGCCGCAAGGCUAAAACUUAAAUGAAUUGACGGGGUCAUAGCUGUUUCCU
rnacentral:rRNA from 1 species